UAGGGAAUCUUCCGCAAUGGACGAAAGUCUGACGGAGCAACGCCGCGUGAGUGAUGAAGGUCUUCGGAUCGUAAAACUCUGUUGUUAGGGAAGAACAGGUAUAGGAGUCACUGGCGGUACC
rnacentral:rRNA from 1 species